rnacentral:rRNA from 1 species
UACGGAGGAUCCAAGCGUUAUCCGGAUUCAUUGGGUUCAAAGGGUGCGUAGGCGGAAUGAUAAGUCAGUGGUGAAAGCCUGUUGCUUAACAACAGAACUGCCAUUGAUACUGUCAAUCUUGAGUACAUUUGAUGUGGGCGGAAUGUGUCAUGUAGCGGUGAAAUGCUUAGAUAUGACACAGAACACCGAUUGCGAAGGCAGCUCACAAAACUGUAACUGACGCUGAGGCACGAAAGCGUGGGUAUCAAACAGG